GGCUCGUUGGUCUAGGGUAUGAUUCUCGCUUUGGGCGUGCGAGAGGUCCCGGGUUCGAAUCCCGGACGAGCCC
rnacentral:tRNA from 1 species